UACGUAGGGUGCGAGCGUUGUCCGGAAUUAUUGGGCGUAAAGAGCUUGUAGGCGGUUUGUCGCGUCUGCCGUGAAAAUCCGGGGCUCAACCCCGGACUUGCGGUGGGUACGGGCAGACUAGAGUGUGGUAGGGGAGACUGGAAUUCCUGGUGUAGCGGUGAAAUGCGCAGAUAUCAGGAGGAACACCGGUGGCGAAGGCGGUUCUCUGGGACGGUACUGACGCUGAGACGCGAAAGCGUGGGGAGCGAACAGG
rnacentral:rRNA from 1 species